rnacentral:lncRNA from 1 species
GCCUAAGCCCAAAACACAAACAAAUUUUUCAUAUUUUUGGCAGCCAUGUAAACAGAAAGCAACUGAAACAGACACAAAACGAAACGAAAAUGAAAAUGAAAACGAAUAAUAACAAGAGCAAAAAACAAUUAAUUAGACGGAUCCCAUCCCGGCCGAAACUGAACUGAAAUUCCAUUAAAGCAAAAUAUGAAGGACCUACCCGAACAAGGAAGGACAUUAAAUUGCCAGGAUUCUUCAUUUUCAAACAUUUUGGCAGGCGCUUUUCCAUCAUUCACUUUGGUAGCGGGAUUCAUC